rnacentral:rRNA from 1 species
AAUGAACGCUGGCGGCAGGCCUAACACAUGCAAGUCGAACGGAUCCUUCGGGAUUAGUGGCGGACGGGUAAGUAACGCGUGGGAACAUACCCUUUGGUACGGAAUAGCCUCGGGAAACUGGGAGUAAUACCGUAUGUGGUCGAGAGACGAAAGAUUUAUCGCCAAAGGAUUGGCCCGCGUUGGAUUAGGUAGUUGGUGGGGUAAUGGCUACCAAGCCGACGACCCAUAGCUGGUUUGAGAGGAUGAUCAGCCACACUGGGACUGAGACACGGCCCAGACUCCUACGGGAGGCAGCAGUGGGGAAUCUUAGACAAUGGGGGAAACCCUGAUCUAGCCAUGCCGCGUGAUCGAUGAGGGCCUUAGGGUUGUAAAGAUCUUUCAGGUGGGAAGAUAAUGACUGUACCACCAGAAGAAGCCCCGGCUAACUCCGUGCCAGCCGCCGCCGUAA